rnacentral:lncRNA from 1 species
GGGAUGGUGCCGUCCCUCUUCCACCCGUCCCAGCGUGGGAUUUGGGAUGGGAGCCCACCGGGGGGGCUCCCAGAGGAGCCCCUUUUCCUCAUCUCACUGCCCCGAGCUCUUCACCACCCCCAGCCGGGCUCGCCAGCAGGGCGCACGUCCCCGCCGCCGUGACAAGUGCCGCCGGUGGCACGCCCGGUGCACAUCUGCUCCCCCAAAUCUGGGGACGAACAACCUGCCCGACCCCCCCCGCCUCCUCGCGGCCAGACAGCCGGCGCCCGAUGUCCCCGGCCCCCCAGGCAACCUUUGGCAGCCCCCCCUCGGGGACAGCCCCGGGUGCUGGUGGCAGCAGGGAGCUGGCGCUCGGCGAGCGCGGCCGCGGGGCUGCGGCAGCCGCCAGCAGCGGUGCCAUUUCACGUUUCUUGGCAGGGCCGGGAGCGGAGCAGAUGGAGGCACCGCAACGCAGCCUCCAGGCACGCCUCCGCGGCCCCCCCGUGCCACUGCCAGCUCCCCGGCCUGCUGCUCGCACCCCAAAAAUCACCGGGAGCGCCAGGGGCCGUGGGGGGAAGCCGUCGCCUCCGUCCAGGUGCCUGGUCCUCGAAGCCAUCACAUGAAAAAGUUGAAGCUGGUUCCCCGGCUAAAGCAGGAAUAAAGGCAGCUCCCGGCCGGCGGGGGGGUGGGGGGGGGGGGCACGGCUGCCCUGUCCCUUCCAUCCCCGCUCUCAGAGGGGAGCGGAGCUCUGCAGAGCCUGGCACAAAGGGGACGGCACGGCCGAGCCUGCCCCAAAUAGCCGUACCUGCCCGCUCGCCUGGGCUGCUCCAGCCGACGCUCUCCUGCAGCGCCUUUCGGGAUCUCAAAGCGUGGGCCGAGGAGGUGGUGGCAAGGUGGGGGGGGUAAACGGGCCGCAGGCUCUGCGGGAACCCCGCUCUCGUCCCCUAGAGACCCCCAGGGGGGCUCGUGGGGCUGGGGCUCGGCCACCACGGGAGCUGUGGGGCUGCCCCAUGGCGUGCGUCUGCGCCAUCCUCAGCCCCCCAGACAAGGGCCAAGCAGCACCACCCAGCCCUCACGGUGCCAGCAGCCCCCUCCUGGGCUUAAAUACCCCCAGGUGUUGGGGGGGGGGGGCAGGUGAGGCUGCUCAAGGCCAAUUUGGGGCAACCAGGGCUUGGGUGGGGGGAGCAUUGGGGUCUCUUGGGGCCGAAUGACGGCUGGCUGCCCCACGGGGGUCAGCUCCCUCCUUCCUUGCCCCCCCAAAAAAGCCCCCGGGGGGAGCGGCCGAGCCGUGGGGCAGGGGCACCUCGGGGCACCGCGCACCCACGCGUGCCCCCCCCCCCCCAGUCUGCAGGCGACGACCCCCGCGCGUGGGGGGGGGUGCCGAGAGCUCCAAGGCGGCGACGGAGGCAGACCCCAAAACUGGGGGAAGGCUGCGGUAAUGGGGGGGGGGGGCACCCGGGGCCGCCCGUCCCGCGGGAUGCUCCCGCCCCCUCCCCGGUCCCUCCGCUCGUCCCGGCCGCGCUCGGAGCCGCCCCCUCCC